ensembl:lncRNA
GCAUCUAUGUUAGGAGCAUGAAGACCAAUAAUGGAUGCACUGAGCUGAUUAUGAAUUUAGCCCUGAUCAAGACUUGUGUUGCUGUCGUGCUAUGAAAGAUUCCAGUAAUGAAAGCACUUGAGUUGAUUCAAGCACUCUUCUAUGGUCAUGAUCUCUGUGGUUGCCUCUGUGUGUUAGGAGCAUACAGACCAAUAUGGAUCAGAAUGAAUGCAUCAAGUGGGCUUAAGCAUUCUGCUUGAUGGAAAGCUGUAUUGCUGUUGUGUUUGGAAAGAAACUAACAGAAAAAAAUACUCGAAAUGUGUGAUUACUGAAAUGACUGACUGAAGGUGAAAAGCAAGGAUCAGUGGAGAGAAAGUCCCAGAUGUCUGUUCUCCUUCUUCGUUUUAAAAUCAUCUGUUCUGUCCUGUAUUUCUCACACUGGACCCAUCUGAGCUGAUUUAAGAAUUCUUCCAUGGUUAUGACUGUAUGAUUGAAUCUCUAUUAAGAGCUUGGAGACCAAUAGUGAUAAUCUCGAGGUGAUUUAUGCAUUCUUCCGUGGCCACCAGCCUUAUGGUUGCAUCUCUGUGUUAGAGCUUAGAGAUCAAUAAUGGAUGCAGCAAGCUGUUUCAACCAUUCUGUUGGGAUCAAGAUUGUUGUGUUGCCUCUGUGUUUGGAAAGAGACCAAGAAUGAACACGCUCAGGUGAUUUAAGCACUCUUCCAUGGCUACGAGCUCUGUGGUUGCCUCUGUAUAUUAAGAGCACAGAGAUUAAACUGACUUGAGAAUUCCUCCUUGGUCACAAGCUUUUGGGUUGCAUGUCUGCAUUAGGAGCCUAGAGAACAAUAAUGAGUGCGCUUGAGCCGAUUGAAACAUUCCUCCUUGCAUCUUUGUUCUAUGAUUGCAUCUAUUUGUUAGUAGCACAGAGACCAAUAAUGGACAUCGUUGUUCUGUCUUGAGAAUUCCUCUAGGGUCACAUGCUCUGUUUGCACCGUGCUUAGGAAGGAACCUGCAGACCAAUAAUAGAUGGCCUGUGCCGACGGAAGGAUUCCUCCCUGGUGACGUGGUGUGUCUGCCUCUUGAUUGGGAGCAGGCAGACCAAUAAUGAUGCACUUGUUAUGAUUUGAGAAUUCCUCCAUGGUCACGUGCUCUGUUUUUAUCAUGGUUGGGAGCCUACAGACCAAUAUUGAGGGAUUCCUUCAAGGCCAUGUGCUCUACUUGCACCGUUUUUGGGAUGGAGCCUGGAGACCUAGAGUGAACAACUUGUGCUAUGUUAAGGAUUCCUCCAUGAUCACGUGCCCUGUUUGUACACCAUGCUUGGGAAGAUGCAUGCAGACCAAUAAUGGACAUACUUGUGAAGAUUUAAAGAUGCCUCCAAGGUCACGUGCUCUGUUUGCACCAUGCUUAGGAAGGAGCAUACAGACCAAUAAUGGAUGAAUUGUGCACCUUGAAAAGUUCUUCCCUGACCACUUGAGGCACUUGCAUCACGGUUAGGCUCAGGCAGACUAAUAAUGGACGUACUUAUUCUGAUUUGAGGACUUCUUCAUGGGCACGUGUUCUAUUUGCACCAUGCUUAGGAAGGAGCAUGUGUACCAAUAAUGGAAGCACAGAAGCUGGUUUUCACUGGUUAAGAGCUAUCUCUGUGCUAGAAGCUGGACACCAAUAUCCAUGAUUGCAUCUAUGUGUUACAUGGUGUAUGGAGACCAAUAACAGUCACUUCCUGCACUGAUUCUGCCAUGAGCACUUGCUCUAUGGCUGUUUUAAGGAACCUGCAGACAAAGAAUGGAUUAUCAUUGGUGAAGACCUUGGCUGGAUGGAUAGACCAGAGCUGAUUAAAUUAUUCUUCCAUGAUGAGGAACUUUACCUUAUCCCUCGGAGUAAGGAGAAUGUCAUGCAAUGUAAGUAAUAAAGUUCUUGGGUUGGGUUGUUAGUUCAUGAUUUCUACUGUCAUUUAAAAAGAUAAUUAAAUUUUAAAAGGUCAUGCAUAGGCCUAUGAUGAGAAUGUGUUAUGGACCGAAACUAAUCCAAUUUAGCACAAGUGAAGUAUAAGGAAAAAAAACUUAGCUUUUCCAUUCAUUUUCAAUAGUUAAAUGUCACAUUAUAUGUUUGUCUCACUGAUUAUUUAUAGACUCUUCUCUUGAUAAAGGCUGUUACUCAUUUAUGGAGUCAGUAUUCUAGUUGUUGAGUAGGAUGGUGGUUCAAGCUUGUUCAUUUGAUAUCUAAAAAUGUUUCAAAUUAAAUGUAGAGGGGCCAUGUGUGGACCGAUGAUGUGAACGGAAUGCAUCUGAAUAAAAAUUAUGAUCAAUCAUUUUUGAACAACUGAGGUCCACUGCAAAAA